AAACUGGCAGCUUGCGACUCGCCCGCGACGAUCUGUCAUUACGCAGAUAAGAAUAAAAAUCUACCAAAGUUUAAAUACAAAAACGUCAUAUAUAUUUUGGAUACAUUCGGAAUCAUUAAUACAAGUGAUAAAAAAACUGUACGCUACUACCAAAGAUGGUAACACAAAACAACAACGUUGCAUUACUGAUGAUGAUGCGGGAAAUCUGGAAGCACAUCGACGACGACGGAAGGACGACGUGUUUGAGACUAUUAAAGCUGCUCAGAUGCGAUUGUUGGUACAUGAAAUGCUUCCAGUCCAGUCGUCCUCGAACAGCCGUUAUGGUAUUUGUCUUCUUACGAGUGCUCACUAAUCGCAAAAUGUGUCUGAAGAAAGGCAAUUUCAGAAGCUACCUCCAAUCACGCGGUUUCCUACGCGACAUAAAUAAGGAUCCCCUACUGGUUUAUUUCUGUUCCGAUUUGGUCAAUAAUGCAUCCUUGCGCUUGGCAGUAGAAUGAUUCGACCAAAUACGACUACAAAAAGUGUUACUUAUACUAGACUAACAAGCGCUCAGCAUUGAAGAAGACUGUUUCGAUGAGGAAACGGGACCAGAAACCAUUUGGUGUUCGAGUAUGCCACCAACAAAACAGAGGAGUCGUGCUGGCGCACCGGCUGAACGGAUGAAUCGCUGAACUACGAUGCAAUGGUAGCAGCAACAUUUGGUAAAAAUAGGCAUCGAUGAGCAAAGCAGUUAUUUCUGCCAAUUUUUUUAUUUGGACCGUGCCGUGAGUACUUUUCAUUAUUGACUGAUCAUCGGGUGGCGCUGGGUUGACCGGUCGUAAUCAUAGACACCUUUGCAGGCUGGGGGAAAACGUCACGGUGGUGGUGUUUUCUCCAGUAAGAACUGCACCAAAGUCGACCACUGUAUACGCUGAUGGCUGAUUGAUCUAGUUAGAUAAGCAGAAAACCUGCUGGUACCGUUAUUGCUUGGAACAAGGCAUUUUACUCACGAUUGUAAGUUAUCGCAACACUAGCGGAAUAUGACGUAACGAAGGGUACAUAUUUGGUACAGAGAUUGUCGGAGGUAGCAGCCGUAUUCCGGCCAUCAGCUGCUAGAUCGAGAAGAUUUCGAACAAGAGCGGUUCGCCAACGGAAGUUAAACAGUAGUUAUAAUAACCCAGUGUAUCUUAUUAUUAUUCAAUUAUGCAUGUAAUU